AAAACUUACCGUGUUUCGUAUAAUUUUAUUUUUCAUAAAUCACAAUAUUCUAAGUUCUGUAUUCUGAAGCGUUUCCUCAUGGGCGUCGGCAGUUCACGUCACGGAUUCCGCCGAAAGAGUCGAUAAUUAAAAUCAUAAAGAUACUAGUAUUGUAUACUAGAUAAGUUUCAAUUAGCGAGAUGUAGAGAGAGAUGGAGAUGGAACGAGAUGUAGACGGAUGAAGAUAGCUGUUUCUUCGACGACAACGUGUGCUGCAGUACACCUAGGUUUCACUGGAAGAGUCGAUGUUUAUGCAAAUGGUAUUCGUCAGUGAACAUUUUCAAACUGGGAAUAAUACAUCAUAAGCAGAUUGAAAUGUGUGAACGUUUCAGUGUUCCGAAGACUAAGUUUCGUAGCAGAUUUUGAUUCCGUCACAGGGUUUACUCCGUCGUCAAACCCGUUGCCAUUCAUGGAAUUUACUUCUCAACAAGGAAAGACAAACUUCUUUGAAAGAAGACUAAGUGAACACCAAUUACCUUCAGUUGUACUCUGAAUCAUGUUUGUGAAUAAAAUUAUUUGUCAAAGACUUAUUCAUAAUAUUAUAAGAAAACUUUAUUUUUAAAUUUUAUAAUUGAAGUGAAAAGUAUUAAAAAUCUUA